ACUGUUUGAGACAGUGUUUAUGAGUUAAUGAAAUGGUUUUAAAAAGGUUGAUAAAUAAGUAUGAGUUCAUAAUGAGUUCAUAAACAAUUUAGAGUAUUAAAAAUGUGAGUAAAGAGACAGAAAGAGUUCCAAUGUGAUUUUAUUUUGAAAUGUACAGACAUGAUUUGUUGUAUGAGGAAUUGUGGGUAGAAGGAGAGCCCGCGCUUUGAGAAAAGAGAGUCUGGAUAUGGCAGCGCAUGGUCAGAAAACACAAAAAAGUGACUACACUAUGUUCUAGAGGCGCACACGUUUUCACGGUGUCUCAAGAUUGUUUGUCGUCGGAGGAGAAUGAGGAGAAAAUAAAAAAGAUGAAUCUUGA